AUGAUGGUGAUGAUGAUGAUGAUGAUGAUGAUGAUGAUGAUGAGGGUGAUGAUGGUGGUUAUGAUGAUGAGGGUGAUGGUAAUGAUGAUGGUGGUGAUGAUGGUGGUGAUGAUGAUGAUGGUGGUGAUGAUGAUGAGGGUGAUGGUGAUGAUGGUGGUGAUGAUGAUGAUGGUGGUGAUGAUGAUGAGGGUGAUGGUGAUGAUGGUGGUGAUGAUGAUGAGGGUGAUGGUGAUGAUGGUGGUGAUGAUGAUGAGGGUGAUGGUGAUGAUGAUGGUGAUGAUGAUGAGGGGGAUGAUGAAGAGGGUGAUGAUGAUGGUGAUGAUGAUGAUGAUGGUGGUGAGUGUGAUGAUGGUGGUGAUGGUGAUGAUGAUGAUGAUGGUGAUGAUGAUGAGGGGGAUGAUGAUGAGGGUGAUGAUGAUGGUGAUGAUGAUGAUGGUGGUGAGGGUGAUGAUGGUGGUGGUGAUGAUGAUGAUGGUGGUGAUGAUGAGGGUGAUGAUGAAGAGGGUGAUGAUGAUGGUGAUGAUGAUGAUGAUGGUGGUGAUGAUGAUGAUGAUGGUGGUGAGGGUGAUGAUGGUGGUGAUGGUGAUGAUGAUGAUGAUGGUGAGGGGGAUGAUGAUGAGGGUGAUGAUGAUGAUGAUGGUGGUGAUGAUGAUGAUGGUGGUGAGGGUGAUGAUGGUGGUGAUGGUGAUGAUGAUGAUGGUGGUGAUGAUGGUGAUGAUGGUGGUGAUAGUGAUUAUGAUGGUGAUGGUGGUGAUGAUGGUGAUGCUGAUGAUGGUGGUGAUUGUGAUGAUGGUGAUGAUGAUGAUGAUGAUGAUGGUGGUGGUGGUGAUGGUGGUGAUGAUGGUGGUGAUGAUGGUGAUGAUGAUGAUGGUCUUCUUCACAGGACGCUCUGAAGCCAGCGGGCAGCACCAGCGUCCCCAGCUCCACCAGCAGCCCAUCCUUCCCCAUCACCAGCUACCUGCCAGCCGCCGGGAACACAGCGAAGAGCACCGGAGUCAUGCAGCUGCCUGCAGGAUUCACCUUCAUGUCAGGCUCUCCGUUUGCUCCCGGGACUCCUGCGAUUCCUCUCGGUCAGAGCGGUGUGUCUCAGGGGUCACCACAGGGUCAGCAGGCCGUGUUUCGUCUGCCAGCCACCGUCUCACUGACCGGCGGAGGGAUGCCGCAGCAGCUCCAGAGCGUCCAGGUCCAGUCCAGCGGUCAGUCGAGCUGCAUCAGCUCCAGCGCUCCACAGACCUCAGUUACGGUCAGUCUGCCGGCCGUCGUCUCCUCCUCGGUGUCCUCCUCCAUGACGGGUCACAUGAUGUACUCCAGCCCACACACACUCAUGUACGCUUCAGCGCCCACGCUAGCAGACGGGAGCGUAGCGGUGCUCAACGCCUUCACACAGGCACAGGUGUCACACACGACGACUCAGGACACGGGUGAGACACACACACACACACAGACAGAUGCACACACACACACACAUAGAUAUACACACACAGAGAGAGAGAUACACACACAGAGAGAAAGAGAGAGAGCGAUACACACACACACGCACAGAUAGAUACACACGCAUACACACACACACAGAGAGACAGAGAGAUACACACACACACAGAUACACACGGAGAGAUACACGCACACACACACACACACACACACACAGACUCACUCAAACACACACUCUCACAUACUCACACAUAGAUACACACAGACACACACACACACAGACAGAGAGAUGUGAAGCAGCACACACAUGCCGCGUGUCCACCGAAAUUACCCGGAACAUUUAUACCAGGAACUUUUUUUCCCAGGAAGACGAAAUAUUAUAUAGAAUUGCCUUUUUUAUUUUCAUUUUAAUAUAUAGAUAAUUUGAAUACAGACCAAAGAAAAGCUGUUAGAUUUACCCCGCAGCUGAAUUAUAUGUUAUGUUUAACCACUGAAGACACAUCAGAGCCAGCGGCACAUAUCAGAAGAUCUGUCUGAGAUGAGGCUGCUUCUCUGCGGAUACAUGAGGACUGAGCUCUCGCUGAUCGAGUGGAGCUCACCGUCUCAGAGAUCGGCGAAACACAUUUUUAAACAGGCGCUGUCUUUAUAAAUAAACCAUAGAUUUGAGUUUUAAACAACUACAUUCUCGCCUGAAAUACUUUUAAAAUUACAUUUCAUGACACAAUAACAGUAAUAUUUUGAAAAUGAUCCGAAUAAAUGGUGUUUGAACUCAACCAAUGCUGCGUGAACUCAACCAAUCAGAAUGUUUAGCGCCAAAGUCCCGCCCCCGAAAGUUCGGGAACUUUGAAACAGCACCACCUCGCCAGCAGGGACUUUCUGAGGGGCAUUUCUUUACCCGGAACUUUAUUUAGUUCCUGGUUCCUGCGGUGGAAACACACCAAGUACCGGACCAGAGUCCCUAGUUCCUGGGGAAAGUUCCUGCGGUGGAAACGCGGCUUUAGAUGCACUGAAGAGUUCAAGCCGCUCUUAACUGAUACUCAUUCAGACUCUAAUCAGAUUAACCUGCAGC
ensembl:lncRNA